rnacentral:rRNA from 1 species
AUUGAACGCUGGCGGCAGGCCUAACACAUGCAAGUCGAACGAGUGGCGGACGGGUGAGUAAUGUCUGGGAAACUGCCUGAUGGAGGGGGAUAACUACUGGCAACGGUAGCUAAUACCGCAUACCAUCAGAUGUGCCCAGAUGGGAUUAGCUUGUUGGUGGGGUAACGGCUCACCAAUGCGACGAUCCCUAGCUGGUCUGAGAGGAUGACCAGGCACACUGGAAAGGAGACACGGUCCAGACUCCUACGUGAGGCAGAAGUGGGAAAUAUUGCACAUGGGGCGCAAGCCUGAUGCAGCCAUGCCGCGUGUAUGAAGAAGGCCUUCGGGUUGUAAAGUACUUUCAGCGGGGAGGCGUGACCCGCAGAAGAAGCAUCGGCUAACUCCGUGCCAGCAGCCGCGGUAAUAC